AUUGAACGCUGGCGGCAGGCUUAACACAUGCAAGUCGAGCGGGGGAAGGUAGCUUGCUACUGGACCUAGCGGCGGACGGGUGAGUAAUGCUUAGGAAUCUGCCUAUUAGUGGGGGACAACAUCUCGAAAGGGAUGCUAAUACCGCAUACGUCUUACGGGAGAAAGCAGGGGAUCUUCGGACCUUGCGCUAAUAGAUGAGCCUAAGUCGGAUUAGCUAGUUGGUGGGGUAAAGGCCUACCAAGGCGACGAUCUGUAGCGGGUCGGAGAGGAUGAUCCGCCACACUGGGACUGAGGCACGGCCCAGACUCCUACGGGAGGCAGCAGUGGGGAAUAUUGGACAAUGGGGGGAACCCUGAUCCAGCCAUGCCGCGUGUGUGAAGAAGGCCUUAUGGUUGUAAAGCACUUUAAGCGAGGAGGAGGCUACUCUAGUUAAUACCUAGGGAUAGUGGACGUUACUCGCAGAAUAAGCACCGGCUAACUCUGUGCCAGCAGCCGCCGCGG
rnacentral:rRNA from 1 species